rnacentral:lncRNA from 1 species
AGGGCCGCGCUCCCUGCCGCCCCCCCGGAGUCGGAGUGCGUUGGUGGGGUAGUCUCUGAGGGCCCUUCGCUCCUGGGAUCUGCCCGUUACCGACCGUUGCCGGCAAGGCCCCGCGGCCGGCACCGGAGAAGGGCGGCGAGGCGGCGGUGAUGGUCGCGUCCCGUGGCGGGAGGCUCGUCGUUCACGGGGCGCCCACAGAACCCACCUAGGGGAGGUCUUCAGCCCACCACCGUAUUUUCAGCCAGGUGAAUGUCUUAAAGCAUCCACUAGCGCCCUGACAUCAAUGCAAGCUUGAAUAAGAAAAACAAAUUCUUCCUCCUAAGCCAUGGCAUAUCAGUUAUACAGAAAUACUACUUUGGGAAACAGUCUUCAGGAGAGCCUAGAUGAGCUCAUACAGUCUCAACAGAUCACCCCCCAACUUGCCCUUCAAGUUCUACUUCAGUUUGAUAAGGCUAUAAAUGCAGCACUGGCUCAGAGGGUCAGGAACAGAGUCAAUUUCAGGGGCUCUCUAAAUACGUACAGAUUCUGCGAUAAUGUGUGGACUUUUGUACUGAAUGAUGUUGAAUUCAGAGAGGUGACAGAACUUAUUAAAGUGGAUAAAGUGAAAAUUGUAGCCUGUGAUGGUAAAAAUACUGGCUCCAAUACUACAGAAUGAAUAGAAAAAAUAUGACUUUUUUACACCAUCUUCUGUUAUUCAUUGCUUUUGAAGAGAAGCAUAGAAGAGACUUUUUAUUUAUUCUAGAAUUGCAGAAAUGACUACACUGUGCUAUACCAGAGAAUUCCAGUAGAAAGAAACUUGUAACUCUGUAGCCUCUUACAUCACCUUUAUUAUACAGCAUGAAAAACCAUAACUUUUUUUUAAGGACAAAAGUUGUUGCCUUCCUAAGAACCUUCUUUAAUAAACUCAUUUUAAAACUC